rnacentral:rRNA from 1 species
ACGCGUGGGAAUCUAUCCAGUAGCGGGGGAUAGCCCGGGGAAACUCGGAUUAAUACCGCAUACGCCCUAUGGGGGAAAGCAGGGGAUCUUCGGACCUUGCACUAUUGGAUGAGCCCGCGUCGGAUUAGCUAGUUGGUGGGGUAAAGGCCUACCAAGGCGACGAUCCGUAGCUGGUCUGAGAGGAUGAUCAGCCACAUCGGGACUGAGACACGGCCCGAACUCCUACGGGAGGCAGCAGUGGGGAAUAUUGCGCAAUGGGGGCAACCCUGACGCAGCCAUGCCGCGUGUGUGAAGAAGGCCCUAGGGUUGUAAAGCACUUUCACUAGUAAGGAAAGGUGUACGGUUAAUACCCGUGCAAGUUGACGUUAACUAGAGAAGAAGCACCGGCUAACUCCGUGCCAGCAGCCGCGGUAAUACGGAGGGUGCGAGCGUUAAUCGGAAUGACUGGGCGUAAAGCGCGCGUAGGUGGUUUGUUAAGUUGGAUGUGAAAGCCCAGGGCUCAACCUUGGAAUUGCAUCCAAAACUGGCAGGCUAGAGUACAGUAGAGGGAGGUAGAAUUUCCGGUGUAGCGGUGAAAUGCGUAGAGAUCGGAAAGAAUACCGGUGGCGAAGGCGGCCUCCUGGACUGAUACUGACACUGAGGUGCGAAAGCGUGG